ensembl:lncRNA
UUGUCAGAGUUUAACAUUUUCAGUUAAUCAAAAAACAAUUUCAUUUUAAGUUCUGUUAAUGUAAAAAACAAUUUGAUUACGCGUAAACAGCGCGCGCAUGUUCAAGGCCAGACGACGAGACGAGACGAGUGAAGCAUGUGGUGAAUGAAUGCAGCAGCAAGGGUUGUCUUCAAUGAGCCAAAAACAGCCCAUGUUACUCCUCUACUCAUCAGGUUACACUGGCUACCAGUAGCCGCUCGCAUCAAAUUCAAGAAGUUUGCGCUCUGCAAGUGAACGACGCCUUGUGGUGCCAUCCCAAAGAGGCUCAAAAUCACUCUCACGGACUUUUUCCUGGACUGCUCCCAGCUGGUGGAAUGACCUCCCGAUCUCAAUUCGAACAGCUGAGUCUUUACUCAUUUUCAAAAAACAUCUAAAGACUCAUCCUUUU